rnacentral:rRNA from 1 species
UACGUAGGGUGCAAGCGUUAAUCGGAAUUAUUGGGCGUAAAGAGCUCGUAGGCGGUUUGUCGCGUCUGCUGUGAAAACUGGGGGCUCAACCCCCAGCCUGCAGUGGAUACUGGCAGGCUGGAGUAUGGUAGAGGAAGGUGGAAUUCCCGGUGUAGCAGUGAAAUGCGUAGAGAUCGGGAGGAACACCAGUGGCGAAGGCGGCCUUCUGGACCAAUACUGACGCUCAUGCACGAAAGCGUGGGGAGCAAACAGG